rnacentral:tRNA from 1 species
GGCCUGUUAGCUCAGCUGGUUAGAGCGUGGUGCUAGUAACGCCAAGGUUGUGGGUUCGAUCCCCACAUGGGCCA